ACACGUGUCAGCAAACAAAGGGAUUCAAUUUGUUUUUCUUCUUCUCUGUCGUUUCGUUUUCUCUGUGAGUUCUCCUUCAUUCGGCGAUCUGAAACUGAAACCGACGAUGUCUUCUGUCAGUCUUCUCCGUCAGAGACGAUCGACGUCUCUCUCGGUCGUCACGGCGCCUCCUCCGUCUUCUCUCGUCAUCUCCGUCCGAAGAGCGAUCGAAAUCCAAUCUAGAUUUGACUCUUCUAUUACUCCUGAGUUCUUCAUUGUUUUUUUUUCUUUCUUUAUUUAAUUAUCAUUUUAGUCUCUGCUGAAAUUCAACUGAUCUUGCUUGUUAUUGAUCCGUUCAUUAGAGGUUUCUAUAGGUCCAUCAGUGUUAUAGCAAAAUCUGUCUUGCAUAUAAAGGCUGGAAACAAAAUACCUCUUUUUGGGAAUAUUUGGUCAUAUAUUCAUAGAGCCAAGCAUCCUCAAAUUAUAAACCUUUGAUGUUGUUAUCAGAAUAAUUGAUCAGCCUGGUUGCAGAGAGGAUUUGUUGACUGCUUCCAGCGAGUGCGUUUAUCCCUCAAAGGGCAUAUCAUCUUUAGAUGUUCCAGUAUCUCCUUGCAGGGAUGAUGAAGGCAUCAGAGAAACAAAGUGCAGGUGUUGUGUUCAAUGAGAUGAAAGGUGGUCUAUUCACAGCCUGAUAAUAUUUUAGGACGAAUUGCUCAGCAGGUUGUGAAAGAGUGGAGCAUUGGGAGCAUCCUUGUAACGGACAUGAAGCCUUUUGUUUCUAGUCUGGUUGUGAAAGAGUGGAGCAUUGGGAGCAUCAUGAAGCCUUUUUUUUCUAGUCUGGUUGUGUUUGUUCUUAUGUGUCACUUGUUUUGUUGUGUCACGGUCAUUGUAACGAAACGUAAUUCAGAAAGUUGUAUAAAGUAGAAGCUUGUUCUUUA